rnacentral:rRNA from 1 species
GACAGAGGAUGCAAGCGUUAUCCGGAAUGAUUGGGCGUAAAGCGUCUGUAGGUGGCUUUUUAAGUCCGCCGUCAAAUCCCAGGGCUCAACCCUGGACAGGCGGUGGAAACUACCCAAGCUGGAGUACGGUAGGGGCAGAGGGAAUUUCCGGUGGAGCGGUGAAAUGCGUAGAGAUCGGAAAGAACACCAACGGCGAAAGCACUCCGCUGGGCUGAUACUGACACUGACAGACGAAAGCUAGGGUAGCGAAAGGG